rnacentral:rRNA from 1 species
AGAGUUUGAUCAUGGCUCAGAUUGAACGCUGGCGGCGUGCCUAACACAUGCAAGUCGAUCGGUAACGCGGGGGCAACCCUGGCGACGAGAGGCGGACGGGUGAGCAAUGCUUGGGAAUCUGCCCAUCAGCGGGGGACAACCCGGGGAAACUCGGGCUAAUACCGCAUACGCUCUACGGAGGAAAGCAGGGGACCGCAAGGCCUUGCACUGACGGAUGAGCCCAAGCCGGAUUAGCUAGUUGGCGGGGUAACGGCCCACCAAGGCGACGAUCCGUAGCUGGUCUGAGAGGACGAUCAGCCACACCGGAACUGAGACACGGUCCGGACUCCUACGGGAGGCAGCAGUGGGGAAUAUUGGACAAUGGGGGCAACCCUGAACCAGCGAUGCCGCGUGAGUGAUGAAGGCCUUCGGGUUGUAAAGCUCUGUGGGGAGGGGAGAAAAAGCACGUUCUAACAGGACGUGUGUUGACGGUACCUCCUUAGCAAGCACCGGCUAACUCU